rnacentral:rRNA from 1 species
UACAGAGGUCCCAAGCGUUGUUCGGAUUCACUGGGCGUAAAGGGUGCGUAGGCGGUCGGGUAAGUCUGAUGUGAAAUCUCACAGCUUAACUGUGAAACUGCAUUGGAUACUAUCCGGCUAGAGGAAUGGAGGGGAGACUGGAAUACUUGGUGUAGCAGUGAAAUGCGUAGAUAUGUGGAGGAACACCAGUGGCGAAGGCGGCUUUUUGGUCUGUAACUGACGCUGAGGCGCGAAAGCGUGGGGAGCAAACAGG